UACGGAGGAUCCAAGCGUUAUCCGGAUUUAUUGGGUUUAAAGGGUGCGUAGGCGGCCUGUUAAGUCAGGGGUGAAAGACGGUAGCUCAACUAUCGCAGUGCCCUUGAUACUGACGGGCUUGAAUAAACUAGAGGUAGGCGGAAUGAGACAAGUAGCGGUGAAAUGCAUAGAUAUGUCUCAGAACACCGAUUGCGAAGGCAGCUUACUAUGGUUUUAUUGACGCUGAGGCACGAAAGCGUGGGGAUCAAACAGGA
rnacentral:rRNA from 1 species